rnacentral:ncRNA from 1 species
GAACGCCGUGUGAGUUCGAAAGUCUCAUGCACGGUGUAGAGUGGGGGAAAACUCGGAGAUAACAUCAAAGAGUUACCUAUCACUAU